UCCGUAGGCGGUGCGGCAAGUCGGGAGUGAAAUCUCUGGGCUUAACUCAGAGGCUGCUUCCGAAACUGCCGUGCUCGAGUGUGAGAGAGGCGAGUGGAAUUGCGGGUGUAGCGGUGAAAUGCGUAGAUAUCCGCAGGAACAUCCGAGGCGAAAGCGGUUCGCUGGAUCACAACUGACGCUGAGGGACGAAAGCUAGGGGAGCAAACAGGAUUAGAUACCCUGGUAGUCCUAGCCCUAAACCAUCAGGACUUGGGGUUUGCCCUGUACGGGGCAAGUCCCGGAGCUAACGCGUUAAGUCCUGCGCCUGGGGAGUACGGUCGCAGGGCUGAA
rnacentral:rRNA from 1 species